AGGGGGAUAACAGUCAGAAAUGACUGCUAAUACCGCAUAAGACCACAGCACCGCAUGGUGCAGGGGUAAAAACUCCGGUGGUACAGGAUGGACCCGCGUCUGAUUAGCUGGUUGGUGAGGUAACGGCUCACCAAGGCGACGAUCAGUAGCCGGCUUGAGAGAGUGAACGGCCACAUUGGGACUGAGACACGGCCCAAACUCCUACGGGAGGCAGCAGUGGGGAAUAUUGCACAAUGGGGGAAACCCUGAUGCAGCGACGCCGCGUGAGUGAAGAAGUAUUUCGGUAUGUAAAGCUCUAUCAGCAGGGAAGAAAAUGACGGUACCUGACUAAGAAGCCCCGGCUAACUACGUGCCAGCAGCCGCGGUAAUACGUAGGGGGCAAGCGUUAUCCGGAAUUACUGGGUGUAAAGGGUGCGUAGGUGGUAUGGCAAGUCAGAAGUGAAAACCCAGGGCUUAACUCUGGGACUGCUUUUGAAACUGUCAGACUGGAGUGCAGGAGAGGUAAGCGGAAUUCCUAGUGUAGC
rnacentral:rRNA from 1 species